rnacentral:hammerhead_ribozyme from 1 species
AUCCAACUGACGAGUCUCAAAUAGGAUGAAAUAUGUGUCAAACUAGAU